UGGGGAAUAUUGCACAAUGGACGGAAGUUUGAUGCAGCGACGCCGCGUGAACGAAGAAGGCUUUCGAGUCGUAAAGUUCUUUUAUAUGGGAAGAUAAUGACGGUACCAUAAGAAAAAGCCCCGGCUAACUACGUGCCAGCAGCCGCGGUAAUACGUAGGGGGCUAGCGUUGUCCGGAAUCACUGGGCGUAAAGGGUUCGCAGGCGGAAAUGCAAGUCAGGUGUAAAAGGCAGUAGCUUAACUACUGUAAGCAUUUGAAACUGCAUAUCUUGAGAAGAGUAGAGGUAAGUGGAAUUUUUAGUGUAGCGGUGAAAUGCGUAGAUAUUAAAAAGAAUACCGGUGGCGAAGGCGACUUACUGGGCUCAUUCUGACGCUGAGGAACGAAAGCGUGGGUAGCAAACAGG
rnacentral:rRNA from 1 species